rnacentral:rRNA from 1 species
CCGGCUAACUACGUGCCAGCAGCCGCGGUAAUACGUAGGGUGCAAGCGUUAAUCGGAAUUACUGGGCGUAAAGCGUGCGCAGGCGGUUCGUUAAGACAGAUGUGAAAUCCCCGGGCUUAACCUGGGAACUGCAUUUGUGACUGGCGGGCUAGAGUAUGGCAGAGGGGGGUAGAAUUCCACGUGUAGCAGUGAAAUGCGUAGAGAUGUGGAGGAAUACCGAUGGCGAAGGCAGCCCCCUGGGCCAAUACUGACGCUCAUGCACGAAAGCGUGGGGAGCAAACAGGAUUAGAUACCCUGGUAGUCCACGCCCUAAACGAUGUCAACUAGUUGUCGGGUCUUCAUUGACUUGGUAACGUAGCUAACGCGUGAAGUUGACCGCCUGGGGAGUACGGUCGCAAGAUUAAAACUCAAAGGAAUUGACGGGGACCCGCACAAGCGGUGGAUGAUAUGGAUUAAUUCGAUGCAACGCGAAAAACCUUACCUACCCUUGACAUGUAUGGAACCUGGCUGAGAGGUCGGGGUGCCCGAAAGGGAGCCAUAACACAGGUGCUGCA